GAUGCGCUCUACCAUGCAGUCGAGCGGAAGGCCCUUCGGGGUACUCGAGCGGCGAACGGGUGAGUAACACGUGAGCAACCUGCCCUAGGCUUUGGGAUAACCCUCGGAAACGGGGGCUAAUACCGGAUAUUACUGCUGGACGCAUGUUUGGUGGUGGAAAGUUUUUCGGCCUGGGAUGGGCUCGCGGCCUAUCAGCUUGUUGGUGGGGUGAUGGCCUACCAAGGCGACGACGGGUAGCCGGCCUGAGAGGGCGACCGGCCACACUGGGACUGAGACACGGCCCAGACUCCUACGGGAGGCAGCAGUGGGGAAUAUUGCACAAUGGGCGGAAGCCUGAUGCAGCGACGCCGCGUGAGGGAUGACGGCCUUCGGGUUGUAAACCUCUUUCAGCAGGGACGAAGCGCAAGUGACGGUACCUGCAGAAGAAGCGCCGGCCAACUACGUGCCAGCAGCCGCGGUAAGACGUAGGGCGCGAGCGUUGUCCGGAUUUAUUGGGCGUAAAGAGCUCGUAGGCGGCUUGUCGCGUCGACUGUGAAAACCCGUGGCUCAACUGCGGGCCUGCAGUCGAUACGGGCAGGCUAGAGUUCGGUAGGGGAGACUGGAAUUCCUGGUGUAGCGGUGAAAUGCGCAGAUAUCAGGAGGAACACCGGUGGCGAAGGCGGGUCUCUGGGCCGAUACUGACGCUGAGGAGCGAAAGCGUGGGGAGCGAACAGGAUUAGAUACCCUGGUAGUCCACGCUGUAAACGUUGGGCGCUAGGUGUGGGGGGCCUCUCCGGUUCUCUGUGCCGCAGCUAACGCAUUAAGCGCCCCGCCUGGGGAGUACGGCCGCAAGGCUAAACUCAAGGAAUUGACGGGGGCCCGCACAAGCGGCGGAGCAUGCGGAUUAAUUCGAUGCAACGCGAAGAACCUUACCUGGGUUUGACAUCGCCGGAAAUCCUGCAGAGAUGUG
rnacentral:rRNA from 1 species